rnacentral:rRNA from 1 species
AGUGAACGCUGGCGGUAGGCCUAACACAUGCAAGUCGAACGGCAGCACAGUAAGAGCUUGCUCUUACGGGUGGCGAGUGGCGGACGGGUGAGGAAUACAUCGGAAUCUACUUUUUCGUGGGGGAUAACGUAGGGAAACUUACGCUAAUACCGCAUACGACCUACGGGUGAAAGCAGGGGAUCUUCGGACCUUGCGCGAUUGAAUGAGCCGAUGUCGGAUUAGCUAGUUGGCGGGGUAAAGGCCCACCAAGGCGACGAUCCGUAGCUGGUCUGAGAGGAUGAUCAGCCACACUGGAACUGAGACACGGUCCAGACUCCUACGGGAGGCAGCAGUGGGGAAUAUUGGACAAUGGGCGCAAGCCUGAUCCAGCCAUACCGCGUGGGUGAAGAAGGCCUUCGGGUUGUAAAGCCCUGUUGUUGGGAAAGAAAAGCAGCAGGUUAAUACCCCGCUGCUCUGACGGUACCCAAAGAAUAAGCACCGGCUAACUUCGUG